CGCAGAAGAAGCACCGGCUAACUCCGUGCCAGCAGCCGCGGUAAUACGGAGGGUGCGAGCGUUAAUCGGAAUUACUGGGCGUAAAGCGUGCGCAGGCGGUUUGUUAAGCGAGAUGUGAAAGCCCCGGGCUCAACCUGGGAACUGCAUUUUGAACUGGCAAACUAGAGUCUUGUAGAGGGGGGUAGAAUUCCAGGUGUAGCGGUGAAAUGCGUAGAGAUCUGGAGGAAUACCGGUGGCGAAGGCGGCCCCCUGGACAAAGACUGACGCUCAUGCACGAAAGCGUGGGGAGCAAACAGGAUUAGAUACCCUGGUAGUCCACGCCGUAAACGAUGUCUACUCGGAGUUUGGUGUCUUGAACACUGGGCUCUCAAGCUAACGCAUUAAGUAGACCGCCUGGGGAGUACGGCCGCAAGGUUAAAACUCAAAUGAAUUGACGGGGGCCCGCACAAGCGGUGGAGCAUGUGGUUUAAUUCGAUGCAACGCGAAGAACCUUACCUACUCUUGACAUCCACGGAAUUUGGUAGAGAUACCUUAGUGCCUUCGGAACCGUGAGA
rnacentral:rRNA from 1 species